rnacentral:rRNA from 1 species
UACGUAGGGUGCGAGCGUUGUCCGGAAUUAUUGGGCGUAAAGAGCUCGUAGGCGGUUUGUCGCGUCUGCCGUGAAAGUCCGGGGCUCAACUCCGGAUCUGCGGUGGGUACGGGCAGACUAGAGUGAUGUAGGGGAGACUGGAAUUCCUGGUGUAGCGGUGAAAUGCGCAGAUAUCAGGAAGAACACCCGUGGCUAAGGCGGCUCUCUAGUACGGUACUGACGCUGAGACGCGAAAGCGUGGGGAGCGAACAGG